GACCUUCGCGCCGGAAGCUCAACUGAGGCGGAAGACAGAGAAUGAAAGCCGCCUCCUGAAGCCAGAAAGGCGCAUGCGCCGCAGUGAAAGCGCUGCCCCCUAGCGACUGGAGGAUAGCCGAGCGUUCCCACGGGGCUGGUUACUACUCUCCAGGUAGGAAGUCUAGGCUGUUAGUGUAAGCUGGCUUCAAAAGGGUGGUGACACAGAGCCUCGUUACUUCAGCACCGGCGUGUAAUGACUGACCAGCCCUGGAAUCUGUCGCCCACCUGUUGUGGACUGGAGCACGCAAACAAUCCCUUUAUCUCUUGGAACAGACGAGCACACCUGGCCGACUCCAGCGGCCCAUUGGGUGCGGUGGGUUUGGGCAUGAGAUUACAGAACUUGUAUUGGCCCUUCCUGAGAGGUCAGCAACCUUCCAGGGCUUUCCUGCAAUUUCCGGCAUUGGACACAUAUGUCCUCCGACCAGUGUUUUCUCGCCCAGAGCUCCUAAUUUCCAUUGGGCUUUACAGGUAAUGUUCAUCCAAAUGAGGCUAACCCCUGCAUCUCCCUGCCCACACUCUCAGGACUACAGAUCCUGAGUCCUAUUGACCUCCUUUUCAGGCCUCAUAGAGACUGACCAUGGAGCACCCAGAUUGCCAAACUUACCUUUCUGCAGUCCAUGUCCCCAGAGUGGGUACCUCUCUAGCAGCCAUGUCGGUCUAGACCAACCCUUUGUGAUCCCUUUGGCAAACACUUAUCUCCAAAAGUAUUUACAUUAUGACCCAUAACAGUAGCAAGAUUACAGUUAUAAAGUAGCAAUGAAAAUAAUGUUAUGUAUGGGGAGGGUCACAUAAGGAGCUGUAUUAAAGGGUCACAGCAUUAGGAAAGUUGAGCAUCAUUGGCCUGGGAUGGGGCAAGAUGGAGACAAGGUGAUUAUCAGCUGUGUCUAUUGGCAAGCAUCUUUGUGUACAUCUGUCAUAGUAUAGAUUGUAGCCACCCACUGAAUGGCUGGCUUUACCCCAAUGCCCCAUAGUGACUUGAAAUCUUCCUAAGGCUGUUGAUUGAACCAGCCUCCUCAGUUUUGCAUUGCACCAGGGCUUGGAAAGGUACACAGUCUGUAGGGAUGGGGUAUCUUUUCCUGACUCUUUAUAGUCCAUACUUAUAAAGAGAACAUAAUUAUGAAUAUAAAGUGGAUAAAAUGCAGCAAUGAAAACUGCAGGACUCAUAAUAGGUACCCAGCUCUCCGGGGCCAUCAGAAGAGGAACCAUUGCCCUAGGCUCUGGAACUUUGCCUACAUUUGAUCUGGAGUCAAAGCCCUAGUUCUUCUCUGUUAGAAUCCUAGAAAUGUUCCUAAACUGAGACGAGAAUUACCCAGGCCAUGUGCCACAGGUGCUCCACAUACUCUUACCUUGCCUUUGAGACGUUCCUCACUCCCAUCCCUACCUGAGCCACAGUGAGAUUCCUGCCCUCCUGCCAACUCACUGCUCCCCAAGGAAGCUGCAAAGGCAUGCUAACCUACAAGGCACCAAGUAAACUUCCUCACCCCUCAUGGUCAUCUACACAUUGAGCCCCCUCCCUUCCCUGAUCUUGAGCAACUGGUUAGAUAACUUAUGUGAUCAAACAGGUUUCCCUCAUUAAAUCUUAAAAUAAACCUGACUCCUUAG
rnacentral:lncRNA from 1 species